rnacentral:sRNA from 1 species
UAUUCUUUUAUGUUGUCAAUUUUUAAAAAUACCCCUUCUCUUGAACAAAAUGACCAAAUUACCUUUAUCUAAUAGGAACAUGUAAUUGGAAACUAAAAUUUUCCCGACAAAUUUUUGGCGGCAAAAUUUAUUUUUCCCGCCAAAAAAAAAU